UGUUCCAGGCCCAGCAAUUUACUUGCUGGCAUCCUUCAGUUUAAUUAAUUUGAAAUUGAAAUUUGUAAUGACCUACCUGUCUCACUUUGUAUCCGUCUAUAAAUACUGGUGUAUUGUGGUCUCUUUGUUGCUCUUGCUCAUAUCCUGGUUUGAUUUUGAUAUUGCUAUUGCUUCAUUGCUACCUAUCUUCAUAUCUAAUAUCUGAUAUUUGUCUUGUGCCUUAAUCUCAAUCAUGGCCUUUACUGCUGGUCCGUUCAACCCUCUGAGUUGCUUAUUGCUGGAAAAGACACAUGGAAAAUUAAGAUUUUUUACUAGGAAGUCAGUUGUGCACGUGUUUCACUGCUCUGUUGUAUGGGAAGUUUAAAUCAAUUGCAAAAUUAGUUUUCGUUCCAGUCCAAGCUUUUUGAUUUAGGGUGCCAUCUGCUCUCCUUUAAUGACAAGGUGACAAUGAGAAGGAGUAGAAUAGAUUGUUGAAGGAGAUUGGGGAAGUGCUCACUGUUUGUUGUCAGGAGUAGAGCAAAAUCAGAAGCUAAAUAUGUCAUUUUUUUCGUCAGCUGAAGCUUUCCCUAAUGUCAGAAUAUGAGUGAAGAAGAAAUAGGCGAAGGAAGAUUGUCCACAAAAAUGGAUGUCUUUCCAAUCGUGAAAGGAGCAGAUGGAGGAUUGGAAGAAACAGCAAAGUAAAAAAGUUGUGGGAAUUUACUAAUUGUCUUAUGAAA